AGUGUAUAGAGUGGCGCACGGGGUGAGUAAACACGUAAGUAAUCUACUUCGAGUGGGGAAUAACAGUCGGAAACGACUGCUAAUACCGCAUAAUGCAGCGGCAACCUAAUGGUGACAGUUGUUAAAGCAUUUAUGUGCUUGAAGAGGAGCUUGCGGCAGAUUAGCUAGUUGGUAAGGUAAUGGCUUACCAAGGCAACGAUCUGUAGCCGACCUGAGAGGGUGGUCGGUCACACUGACACUGAAUAACGGGUCAGACUCCUACGGGAGGCAGCAGUCGGGAAUUUUGGGCAAUGGGCGAAAGCCUGACCCAGCAACGCCGCGUGAAGGAUGAAGUAUUUCGGUAUGUAAACUUCGUAAGAAUGGGAAGAAUAAAUGACGGUACCAUUUGUAAGGUCCGGCUAACUACGUGCCAGCAGCCGCGGUAAUACGUAGGGACCAAGCGUUGUUCGGAUUUACUGGGCGUAAAGGGUGCGUAGGCGGUGCGUCAAGUCAGUUGUGAAANCUUAAGGCUUAACCUUAAACGGUCAACUGAUACUGNCGUGCUAGAGUGCAGAAAGGGCAAUCGGAAUNNCUUGGUGUAGCGGUGAAAU
rnacentral:rRNA from 1 species